rnacentral:rRNA from 1 species
CUACGGGUGGCUGCAGUGGGGAAUAUUGGACAAUGGGCGCAAGCCUGAUCCAGCAAUGCCGCGUGUGUGAAGAAGGCCUUCGGGUUGUAAAGCACUUUUGUUAGGGAGGAAAGUCUGGUAGCUAAUAACUGCUAGAUCUGACGUUACCUAAAGAAUCAGCACCGGCUAACUCUGUGCCAGCAGCCGCGGUAAUACAGAGGGUGCAAGCGUUAAUCGGAAUUACUGGGCGUAAAGGGGCUGUAGGCGGGUUAUUAAGUCGGAUGUGAAAUCCCCGGGCUCAACCUGGGAACUGCAUGCGAUACUGGCAAGCUAGAGUGUGGAAGAGGGGGGGAGAAUUCCAGGUGUAGCAGUGAAAUGCGUAGAGAUCUGGAGGAACAUCGGUGGCGAAGGCAGCUUUCUGGGGCAAGACUGACGCUGAGGGACGAAAGCGUGGGGAGCAAACAGGAUUAGAUACCCGGGUAGUC